CCCGCUGAACUUAAGCAUAUCAAUAAGCGGAGGAAAAGAAACUAACAAGGAUUCCCCUAGUAACUGCGAGUGAAGCGGGAAAAGCUCAAAUUUAAAAUCUGGCGGUCCUUGUGGCCGUCCGAGUUGUAAUUUAGAGAAGUGUUAUCCGCGCUGGACCGUGUACAAGUCUCCUGGAAUGGAGCGUCAUAGAGGGUGAGAAUCCCGUCUUUGACACGGACUGCCAGGGCAUUGUGAUACGCUCUCAAAGAGUCGAGUUGUUUGGGAAUGCAGCUCANAAUGCGUGGUAAAUUCCAUCUAAAGCUAAAUAUUGUGGAGAGACCGAUAGCGAACAAGUACCGUGAGGCACAGAUGAAAAGAACUUUGGAAAGAGAGGUAAACAGUACGUGGAAAUGCUGUAAGGGGAGCGCUUGCAGCCAGUCGCGUCGCUCAGGACUCAGCCUUGCUUUUGCUUGGUGUACUUCCUGUUCGAUGGGUCAGCAUCAAUUUUGGUCGGUGGAUAAAGGCUCAGAGAAUGUGGCAUCUUCGGGUGUGUUAUAGCUCUGGGUUGUAUACAUCGGCUGGGAUUGAGGAACUCAGCACGCCGCAAGGCCGGGUACUUGUACCACGUACGUGCUUAGGAUGCUGGCAUAAUGGCUUUAAUCGACCCGUCUUGAAACACGG
rnacentral:rRNA from 1 species